UACAGAGGGUGCAAGCGUUGUUCGGAAUUAUUGGGCGUAAAGCGCGCGCAGGCGGUCUCUUAAGUCUGAUGUGAAAGCCCACGGCUCAACCGUGGAGGGUCAUUGGAAACUGGGGAACUUGAGUGCAGAAGAGAAAAGCGGAAUUCCACGUGUAGCGGUGAAAUGCGUAGAGAUGUGGAGGAACACCAGUGGCGAAGGCGGCUUUUUGGUCUGUAACUGACGCUGAGGCGCGAAAGCGUGGGGAGCAAACAGG
rnacentral:rRNA from 1 species